rnacentral:ncRNA from 1 species
GCAGCAAAAGCCAAACCCAGCGUGAGCUGGGGGCGGAAAACCACGGGUCUCUGGAUCAGAACGAGAUAGCCGGGUUGCCUGGG